CUUUCCCUGCCAGGUCAGACCCAGACGGGGAGGACCAGUCAGAGGACCAGAUGCCACAUGCAGGCCCCAGCUUCUCCAGCUGCCUCGGCCGAGCAAGAGGAGAGUCCAGGCCCAGCAGGGGCUGUAUGAGUCCAAGCACACCACCGUGGUUUACUGAGCACCUACUACGUGCCAGGCAGUACUGAAGGCAGUGAGCCCAGGGAGGAAGUAUUCUGCUUGARAGAGACGGGCAGUAAAGCGGUGCCGAUCGUGUGUCAUGGGGCAGGGGCGAAGAGUGAGCACCAGAGAAAAGCCAAGCUCUGUGGGGCUGGAGAACGGGGCAGGCGGGUUCUACUCAGGGCCAGGAGAGACCGCCCUGGGGCCUCCCGAGUCCUGUGGGUGACCCCUUGGUGGGCCACCUUCCUCCUCCUCUGCAGGCCGGGCAGCUGUAUGGCUUUUCUCUCCKCGUCUCUCCGUCUUCGGCUCCUUCCUGACUUCACACAGGCCUUCCCUGGAGAACUAUCCCUAGCACCACCUCUGAACCUCGCCCCAAGCUGGGGACCCUGGAAAAGCUCCAGAGAUGGCUGCGGCCAGGCUUUCUCGAAUGUUCGCUGGAAUUUGUCAUCAUGGACAUGCAAAUGGAUGUCCAUCAGAAUGGAGGACRUGCAACAGAGGGACGGCCAGGUGGUGUGGCUGUGGACGAACUGGAACUCCUGUUCCUGGCUGACCGGAGGCGAACGGGCACUCGGGCCUCCUGAACCGCCAAACCCAACACAGGGCUAYGGGCCGACCCCGUGCUCCCCUCCCAGAUGCUGGAGUGUCCAGUUGGUGAAGAUGUGCUGA
rnacentral:lncRNA from 1 species